GACGAACGCUGGCGGCGUGCUUAACACAUGCAAGUCGAACGGUGAAGCUCCAGCUUGCUGGAGUGGAUCAGUGGCGAACGGGUGAGUAACACGUGAGCAACCUGCCCCUGACUCUGGAAUAAGCGCUGGAAACGGCGUCUAAUACUGGAUACGAGAAGGGUCCGCAUGGGCACUUUCUGGAAAGUUUUUCGGUUGGGGAUGGGCUCGCGGCCUAUCAGCUUGUUGGUGAGGUAAUGGCUCACCAAGGCGACGACGGGUAGCCGGCCUGAGAGGGCGACCGGCCACACUGGGACUGAGACACGGCCCAGACUCCUACGGGAGGCAACAGUGGGGAAUAUUGCACAAUGGGCGAAAGCCUGAUGCAGCGACGCCGCGUGAGGGAUGACGGCCUUCGGGUUAUAAACCUCUUUCAGCAGGGAAGAAGCGAAAGUGACGGUACCUGCAGAAGAAGCACCGGCUAACUACGU
rnacentral:rRNA from 1 species